rnacentral:rRNA from 1 species
UGGGGGAUUUUGGACAAUGGGCGCAAGCCUGAUCCAGCCAUGCCGCGUGCAGGAUGAAGGCCUUCGGGUUGUAAACUGCUUUUGUACGGAACGAAACGGCCUUUUCUAAUAAAGAGGGCUAAUGACGGUACCGUAAGAAUAAGCACCGGCUAACUACGUGCCAGCAGCCGCGGUAAUACGUAGGGUGCAAGCGUUAAUCGGAAUUACUGGGCGUAAAGCGUGCGCAGGCGGUAAUGUAAGACAGUUGUGAAAUCCCCGGGCUCAACCUGGGAACUGCAUCUGUGACUGCAUUGCUGGAGUACGGCAGAGGGGGAUGGAAUUCCGCGUGUAGCAGUGAAAUGCGUAGAUAUGCGGAGGAACACCGAUGGCGAAGGCAAUCCCCUGGGCCUGUACUGACGCUCAUGCACGAAAGCGUGGGGAGCAAACAGGAUUAGAUACCCUGGUAGUCCACGCCCUAAACGAUGUCAACUGGUUGUUGGGAAUUCACUUUCUCAGUAACGAAGCUAACGCGUGAAGUUGACCGCCUGGGGAGUACGGCCGCAAGGUUGAAACUCAAAUGAAUUGACGGGGUCAUAGCUGUUUCC